UGACCUGGAACUCAGAGAUCUGCCUGCCUCUGCGUCCCGAGGGCUGUAAGGCAUUUGCCACCACACCUGGCUAUACAUUUAUUCUUGAAACAGGCUCUCUCCUGGAAUCCUCUAUCCAGCUGAGGAUGACCUUGGCCUUUGGAUCUUCCUGUCUCCUUAUCCCCAGCACUGGAAUCACAGAGAGAACUUCCUAGUGCCCGUGGCUACUUAUUCUACACCAUCACAGCAUCCGCAUCAAAAUCUAUCUCCUUCCUGCAGCUAGAAGUGGAGGCAGUUCCAUUUUUCUGCAACUACAAUGCUGAGUAUGAAUAACCUUCAGUGACCUUCCACACAUCAUUUUACAUGUGUAUGUGUAUCCUAAGAAUGUAAUGACUAUU